rnacentral:lncRNA from 1 species
UUAGUUUUAUUUAUUUUAUUAAGGUUUAUUUAUUUUAUAAAUAUAAAAAAAUAAACAUAGAUGCGCUUAUAGAGAAAAUUAAACCUAAAUUCACAGUAAAUUUCAAUUUACUGUGAAUUUAGGUGAAAUUCCCUAUAUAAGGGCAUCUAUUUUCACUUUAAGAGAAGCUCAACAAGGCAUAGAGGGACGGGCUUAUAAACUGGUGUGAGCGCCCUUCGGUUGGCGAGGUGGGACUAAACACUGGCCGCAACUAGGACCAGCCCUUUAGUCCCGGUUUGUGGUAUGAACCGGGAUUAAAGGGUGGUGGACCAGGAGCGUGGCCCAUUGGUCCCGGUUUGUCCCACCAACCGGGACCAAAGGGUCCGGACGAACCGGGACCAAUGCCCCCACGAGGCCCGGCAGGCCCUUGGCCGCACGAACCGGGACCAAUGCUCACAUUAGUCCCGGUUCGUGACUGAACCGGGACUAAUGUGAAUAUUGCCCUGUGACCAAAGCCCAGUUUUGUACUAGUGUGCUGUGUUUGUCAUGGCUGCUCUGCACUAAAUGCAAGAUGUUUUACUUUAGCCUGAGUCUUCUGUUCGGUAAUUGUUGUUUCUCCCUGAAACAAAACUGAUAGUUUGUAUGAUUGAUUACUUAGAGAGCCACAUUCGCACAAGGAAAUCUAAACAGCCGGCUGGGUAUUGACAAGAAGUACCAAUUUAAGAGGACCGUGAGACAGCUCGGAGGGAAGAACGCAGUUGAUGGCCAUAUUUGGCGCCUUCUGGUGCAAAUAGUGGAAGUGUUUUAGUGAGCAUAUAUUCAUGUCGAACUUCUAUUCUACUGAAUCUUUGAUUGCCUGAUCCCCUUCAUCCUGGCUUGACAUAAAUAACACAUUCGAGGACCAUUUACGACGCCUUCUGGUGCAAAUAGUGGAAAUCUUUCAGUAAAUAUAUAUUUAUGUGAAACUGAAAUUUAGACAACCUUAGAUGAACAUUAUUUCCUGUCAGUGGAUUGAUAGUUGUACUGAAUCUUGCCCUAUGUACAUGGGAUUGCGGUGUCGCUGCGGUGGAAAGUUUUGAUUUGGGUGCGCACGUGGAAAAUCUUGUAACAGGACGAAGAUAAGUGAAUAGGCGGCACGAACACAAGAGACUUCCAUUUGAGUUAAAAAAAACAUUUUUUUACACAUGUAUACACACAAUGCACAUUCACGCGGGGCGGCGGGGGAGAAUAUCCGUUUGCUGAUUUUGAGAUUAGCCGCAAUUAGGAGGAUUUCUACUCAGGUAUGAAUCCAACCUCUCGUCCUCCUCGUGUCGCCCCUGCGGGCGACCCAGGGGGAACCCUAGACACCAUCCUCCUCGUCCCUCAUCCGCCUCCACCUCUCUUCGCCGUUGUCCGCAUCGCCGCCGGUUAAAGCUUGGCCGGCUGGGCGGCGGCGGGGCAUCUCUCCCCUUUGGAGCGUCUUGGGCAGCGCGGGACGACCAGAUCACGAAGAGGCAUCGGGCUAGCGCGUGGUCUGGCGGCAUGGCGGGCGAGCAUCUUGGUGGCGGUGCAUUGCGGCGCCGGCGACGCGGCGCGGCAGCUGUGGCUUGGAUGCGACUCCACGGUGAGGUGGUGGCUGCUUGGCCUUCCGAUGGGUGGUCGCGGGCGUCGCCAUGUUCAGGCUGGAUCCAUCUGGAUCUGGCGCUUGGAUGUUGUCGGACGGCGCAGGGUGGUGGUCUAUGCCGCUGGCCUCGUCGGAUCGUUGGAUCCAGCGCCUGGAGAUCUACGGCGGCUGUCCUUCUUGAUCCUCCUUCCUGGUGGGUUGAGCCCCAUGGCACUUGCAUCUCUGCUGGUCUCGGGUUCGUCUCGUUGUCUGAUUCGGAACAGUCGGAGGUUUGGUGGUAUAGCUUGGGGACCGGAGGAAACUUUGACCGGCUGGUCCGGCCCAGCAUCGGCGGCAUCCCACGACGCCGUUACCCUCCUUGGAGGCGAAGCCGAGGUCCCUCCUAUCCACAUCCGAACCCUUCCCGGACGAAAGUUCAAAAUUCAGUCUGGAUUGGGCGGCGGCGGCGGCGCCCUGCGCGUCGUAACCUCCAUGGAGGCGCCAUCUUGGGAGGCUCAGAUGGUCGGGCGAGAGAUGCUAUGGGUGGUGGGCGCCGCGUAGCUCCAGCAGCAGCGACGGUGUGAGCUCCGGGGGAAACCCUAGAUCUGGGUCUACCGAAUCGGACAAUGAUGGCACCUUUGAUGUCGUUGUCCCUCCUGGGGCAUCAUUUUGGAGCAUGCGCUGGCUGGAGGGGACAAGAGGAGGAGCGGUGUUACAUCUACCGCGAGGCCGACGGCGGAUCCUGGCGGCAUGGCGCCGCGGAGGUUCGGCGAUGGGCGCGUCUGGAGAGGGACUUGCGCAGGAGGAGGAAGCUGUCUAGUGUCAUGGUGGCGUUGAUGGCAGAGAGGCCUGGCAAGGUUGGUGCAACAGUUUUGCUUUGAGGAUGGACCGAGGGAUGAUGGAGGUGACAUCCCUUGCAGCGUGCGGUGCUCACUGGGAGUGUGCCUGGCCGGUGUGGGACCCAAUCCAGGUAGUGGCUUGGAGGGGACACCCGACUUUAAAUGUUAGGCCUUAGUGCGAUGUCUGUUUGGUAUUAGGCCUGAACAUUCGGCACGCUUUCAUCAAGGUGAUAGGAGUAGCAACGGUGUUGCCAAGAUGAUGGCCAAACUUAUUGAUGUAUCACCUUGUAUGGUCUUUGUGAAUAAUUAAUAAUAUGGCUGCAUGCAUCUUUCAGAUGCAGAGGCCGAGGGUACAUCCUCCUUUUUUUAAAAUAAAUAAAUAAAUAAGUAGUGGGGUCCAUGAGGACAGUGGUUGCUCAACGGUUGAAUCACGAUAGUGUGUGCAGGGCUCAGGCUGCCCGUAGCGAGAGUAACUUCCGCGGUAACAAGGUCUAACUUAUUAAUAAAUUUACUAACUUUAGUGUUAAUAUAAGGUCUAACUUAUUAACAAAUUUACUUAGGGUGUGGCUAGGUCUCAGUCGACUGACGUAAGAAAGAAGACGGACAAGAAAACUUUACACGAAUCUUAAUGUAAGAUAUUUUAUGAAUAUAACAUCGACUAAGACGACUGAGAUUUAGCAAAACUGUUUUGCUUAUGUGGCUACGAGCCCAUAGCUUGAGAGGGUGCUUGGAUCCAAGGGAUUUAUUUUAGUCUGACUAAAAAUAGUCUCUUUAAGAGGCUAAAGUUCCAAGCACCCCUGACUAAAGAGGGGCUAAAACUAGUCUUGAAAUUAAAUUUUUUUAGUCAGGAGUACCCUACUAAAAUGUGGAUUAGUCCUCUCUCUUCUCAUUUAACUACUCUCCUUUAACACAUGCGAGUUCUGGAUUGGAGGGUUUGGAGGAUAAUAAAUGUUCAUUAACUUGAUUUUAGUCUCUUUAUUAUUUGGAUCCAAGCAUGGGUGAGGCUAGCAAGUUUUAGUCUCACUACUUUUAGUCAUGAGACUAAAAUGUAUCAAGCACCCUCUCAGUAAUUUCAGUGAUAACAUAAGUCUAACUUAGUAAUAAAUUUGCUUAUAUGGCUACAAUUUAAUGAGAAGAAAGAUAAUUUGAGUAACAUAGUUACUACUUCCGUUCGGAAUUAUACGUCCCGCGAGCCACGAUAGGACGUUCGAUUUACAAGUCCCCUGCGAUUAAAGUACAGCCUUUUUCCCUCGAUUCCCACCAUGUUCGCUGCAUUUGCUGCAGUCGAUUGCAUGCAGCCAACCUUGACGCGAGCAUGCAGCCACCUACUGAAAAAGUGCGUGCAUGCAUGUUGUCAAAUUGACAGCUAACUAGCUUUAAUGACGUGCAUGCACUUAAUUAGGCUACUCAUAGUGGGGAGUAACAUAUACUAGUAUCAUGCAUAUGAUACUAGUAUAUGAUACUAUUUUCAUAGUGCAUAGUAUCAUAAAGUAGUAUCAUAGAUGACCAUAUUUAUUGCCAUCCAUGACACAAAGUAGCAUAGCAUUUAACAUGAUACAGUAUCUACCUAUGUUACUCUAUCCCUCUCUCUCUUAUUUAAUUGUGUGCCACAUAAGCAUGUUUGCUAGUCCCAAGUGCAUGUUAUCAGUUAUGUUACCCCCACUAUGGCCAGCCUUAGGCUACUUCCAAUACAUUGGUGCUAAGAUGAAGUGCUAAUCACAUGAAAAAACUUAACAACUAGUCCCAAUGCAUUGGUGCUAAGAUGUUGUAGCUAAGCAUCCAUCGUUUAAUGAUUUAGCAACUAAAGUUCUUCAUGCAUUUGUGAGAUUCUUUCAUUGAAGUGUUUUGUCUAGGGUCAUACGCUUGGCAUUGUUUCUUCUUGCGGUCACCACACUCACCUCUCUCCUCUUAAUUACCUUGCCACAUCAUAUUUUUCGCCUACAUGGCAGCCUUAGCACCUAUACAAGGUGGAGCAUUGGGAGGGCCCUUAAGGCCAUGUCCCGGUCCUAGUGCUUUGGCUCGGCGGACGUAUAAUCCCGGAUGGAGGUAGUAGUUAGUUACUCAUAUUAUGACUUUAUGAGUAACAUCAGACAUAUCAAGACAAAACAAGUCUACAAGCUAAUAAAUAAAGUGUUACAUGACACCAUACAUAUGUUACUCGUCACUAUAGAGAUAUUAACACAUAUUAGUAAUAUAUGCAUGUUACUAGUGUAAAUUAAUCCCCACUAUGGGUAGUCGCAGAGCACGAGCGGAACCGGAAUAACAAAAUGGAAAUGCACACCUACUAAGAGCAUCUCUAGCCAAUGCACUAAAACCAGUUAAAGCCAAUUAGAUCCAAUCCACUAAAAUAGUUAAAACCGAUUACAUAAGUAAAUUUCUUUACUCCCCUAAUAGGGACCUAGCGAUCGUAAAUGCUAUAGCGGCGUAUAAAUUUUAUUCCUCAUUGCUUUGAGCGAGUAAAAGUACUACACAGCUCGGGCUCAGAUAAAAUUUUCUCGCGCCUUCUCUGUCUCUUCUCACUCCAAUCCUCGCCGCCCACAUCCUGCAGGUGACUCCCUCAUGGAUCUCGCACCUCCACUAUUGCCGCCAUGGCCGGAUCCUCUGGCCAACGCUCCCCGUCGCCCAUCCGCACUGAGGAUCGCGUUACCAUGACUGCAGCGACGACACAUCUUCCUCACGCCGCCGCUGCGGUGCUUCAUUGAGCGCCACCCCAUAUUCUAUUGGGGAGUGCAGUAAUUUUAAAUUUUUUCCUACGCACACGCAAGAUCCAUCUAGGUGAUGUAUAGCAACGAGCGGGAGAGUGUGUCCACGUACCCUUGUAGACGGAAAGCGGAAGUGUUAUGACAACGCGAUUGAUGUAGUCAUACGUCUUCACGAUCCGACCGAUCCUAGCACCGAACGUAUGGCACCUCCGCGAUUUGCACACGGUCAGCUCGGUGACGUCCCACGAACUCUAGAUCCAGCUAAGGUCGAGGGAGAGUUUCGUCAGCACGACGGCGUGAUGAUGGUGUUGAUGAAGUUACCGAUGCAGGGCUUCGCCUAAGCACUACAACAAUAUGACCGAGGUGGAAAUCUGUGGAGGGGGGCACCGCACACGGCUAAGACAACUGUCAACUUGUGUGUCCUAGGGUGCCGGCGGCCUCAUAGGGUGCGCCCCAAGGGGGAAUCCUACUCCUACUAGGAAUAGGUUCCCCCUUUCCAAGUCCACCUAGGAGGGGAAGGAAAGAGGAGAAGGAGAGUAGGAAAGACGGGGCCCGCCCACCAAGCCCUAAACCAAUUCGGUUUGGGCCUAGGGGGGCGCGCCCCACAGCUCCCUUCCUGCCCUCUAUUUCCACUAAGGCCCAUGAAGGCCCAUUGACCCCCCGGGGUGUUAGGGCGGCUAGGUAUUUAAACCUGAGGACACACAGUCCCGGACACCCAGUCCUGAACACGCAGUCCAGGACACUUAGUCCUCACCGUAUUCCCCUUGAGCUAAGGUCACACAGACCUCGCCCAAUCACUCAUGGUAAGUCUUCAGGUGACUUCCGAACCUUCACAAACUCGGUCACUCGGCGAUCCACAAUUUCCUCUUAGAUGCUCUAGACCAUGACGCCUAACCGUCUGGAAGAAGCACAGUCUACAAAGGUAACAAGCGUCGGAUCCACGCAGGAUGAAUCUCUUAAGUGAUGCUCAAUCACUUUGGGUUUGUAGGUGUUUGGGUUUGGGUUUUUCCUCACUUGAUGAUUUUUGCUCAAAGUCCUCGGAGGACGGGAUGCUCUCAAAUGACAAGUGUCAGUUUCUCUCGGAGCAGCCAACCAGCUAGUGGUUGUAGGGGGUGGCUAUUUAUAGCCUAGGGAGCAGCCCGACAUGAUAAAACAUAAAUGCCCUUCAAUGAUAUGACCGUUAGGUGGGUAGAUAUUUUGGGACAGCUGGCGCAUAGCACAGCAACGGUCGGAAAUUUGAGUAUCAAAUUCCUCAGGGCUAUCAUGUUCCUCACUGUGUAGGCAAACCACACUGGAGAAUUCCUAGCUCCUCAGUCAGAACAAAUUCCUCAGAGACCAGAAGAACUUCGUCUCUGUCACUGAAGAAUAUGACUGAACUGUAUGAGAUUUCCAAUGGCUUCACUCGAAUGGAUUGGUAGGUGUAGGAUUUUGAGUUGAGCAUCACAUGGAAAUUUUUCCUUAGUAUUUCCUCGACCACCUUUAACAGUACGGUGUUUCCUAUGACUCAAGAAGAGAAAAUGAAACUACGAAAACAAAAGUCUUCACGCUUCAUGUUCCUCAAAUGAAUACCAAGUCUUCAAGGUCACACCAAUUUCUUCACUUUCAAAGUCUUCAGAAAGUCUUCAGAAAUCCAAAGUCUUCAGUCGAAGAACUUCACUUUUAGGGGUCGACUUUCUCUGUAAAUAUCAAACUCCUCGUAGACUUAUAGACCUGUGUACACUCAUAAACACAUCAGUCCCUUAACCUAUAAGUCUUCAAUACACCAAAAUCACUAAGGGGCACUAGAUGCACUUACAUUAUGCUAAGCUAACGGAUGGGUCUUGUCCAUCACAUCAUUCUCCUAAUGAUGUGAUCCCAUUCAUCAAUUGACAACACAUGUCUAUGGUCAGGAAACUUAACCAUCUUUGAUUAACGAGCUAGUGUAGUAGAGGCAUACUAGGAACACUUUGUUUUGUCUAUGUAUUCACACAUGUAUAAAGUUUUCGGUUAAUACAAUUCUAGCAUGAUAAACAUUUAUCAUGAUAUAAGGAAAUAAAUAAUAACUUUAUUAUUGCCUUUAGGGCAUAUUUCCUUCAGUUUCCCACUUGCACUAGAGUCAAUAAUCUAGUUCACAUCGCCAUGUGAUUUAACACAAAUAGUUCACAUCACCAUGUGAUUUACACCCAUAGUUCACAUCGCCAUGUGACCAACACUCAAAGGGUUUACUAGAGUCAAUAAUCUAGUUCACAUUGCUAUGUGGAUAAUACCCAAGAGCACUAAGGUGCGAUCAUGUUUUGCUUGUGAGAGAAAUUUUUAUUGUACGGGUCUGCAACAUUCAGAUCCGUAUGUAUUUUGCAAAUUUCUAUGUCUACAAUACUCUGCAUGGAGCUACUCUAGCUAUUUGCUCCCACUUUCAAUAUGUAUCUAGAUCGAGACUUAGAUUCAUCUAGAUCGGUGUCAAAGCUUGCAUCGACGUAACUUUUUAUGACGAACUCUUUGUCAACUCCAUAACCGAGAAACAUUUCCCUAUUCUACUAAGUAUAAUUUUGACCGCUGUCCUGUGAUCCACUCCUGGAUCACUAUUAUACCCUCUUGCCAAACUCAUGGCGAGGUACACAAUAGGUCUGGUACACAGCAGAGCAUACUUUAUAGAACCUAUGACUGAGGCAUAGGGAAUGAAUUUUCAUUCUCUUUCUAUUUUCUGCCGUGGUCGGGUUUUGAGUCUUACUCAACUUCACACCUUGCAACACAGGCAAGAACUCCUUCUUUAACUGUUCCAUUUUGAACUACUUCAAAAUCCUGUCAAGGUAUGUAUUCAUUGAAAAAUCUUAUCAAGCGUCUUGAUCUAUCUCUAUAGAUCUUGAUGCUCAAUGUGUAAGCAACUUCACUGAGGUCUUUCUUUGAAAAACUCCUUCCAAACACUCCUUUAUGUUCUCCAGAAAAUUCUACAUCAUUUUUGAUCAACAAUAUGUCACUCACAUAUACUUAUCAGAAAGGCUAUAGUGCUCCCACUCCCUUUCUUUUAAUACAGGCUUCACCGCACGUCUAUAUAAAACUAUAUACUUUGAUCACACUAUCAAAACGUAUAUUCCAACUCCGAGAUGCUUGCACUAGUCCAUAGAUGGAUCGCUGGAGCUUUGCACACUUUGCUAGCACCUUUAGGAUCGACAAAACCUUCUGGUUGCAUCACAUACAACUCUUCUUUAAGAAAUCCAUUAAGGAAUGCAGGUUUGACAUCCAUUUGCCAAAUUUCAUAAAAUGCGGCAAUUGCUAACAUGAUUUGGACAAACUUUUAAGCAUCGAUACAAGUGAGAAAAUCUCAUCGUAGUCAACACCUUGAACUUGUCGAAAACAUUUUUGCGACAAUUCGAGCUUUGUAGAUAGUAACACUACUAUCAACGUCCGUCUUCCUCUUAAAGAUCCAUUUAUUCUCUAUUACUUGCCGAUCAUCGGGCAAGUCAACCAAAGUCCAUACUUUGUUCUCAUACAUGGAUCCAAUCUCAGAUUUCAUGGCCUCAAGCCAUUUCACGGAAUCUGAGCUCAUCAUCGCUUCCUCAUAGUUCGUAGGUUCGUCAUGGUCAAGUAACAUGACCUCCAGAACAGGAUUACCAUACCACUCUGGUGCGGAUCUUAUUUUGGUUGACCUACGGGGUUUGGUAGUAACUUGAUCUGAAGUUUCAUGAUCAUCAUCAUUAGCUUCCUCACUAAUUGGUGUAGGAAUCACUGGAACUGAUUUCUGUGAUGAACUACUUUCCAAUUCGGGAGAAGGUAAAUUUACCUCAUCAAGUUCUACUUUCCUCCCACUCACUUCUUUGAAGAGAAACUCCUUCUCUAGAAAGGAUCCAUUCUUAGCAACAAAUAUCUUGCCUUCGGAUCUGUGAUAGAAGGUGUACCCAACAGUAUCUUUUUGGGUAUCCUAUGAAGACGCACUUCUCCGAUUUUGGUUCGAGCUUAUCAGGCUCAAACUUUUUCACAUAAGCAUCGCAACCCCAAACUUUAAGAAACGACAGUUUAGGUUUGUUGCCAAACCACAGUUCAUACGGUGUCGUCUCAAUGGAUUUAGAUGGUGCCCUAUUUAACGUGAAUGUAGCUGUCUCUAAUGCAUAAUCCCAAAACGAUAGUGGUAAAUCGGUAAGAAAUAUCAUAGAUCGCAUCAUAUCCAAUAAAGUACGAUUAUGACAUUCGGACACACCAUUACGCUGUGUUCCAGGUGGCAUGAGUUGUGAAACUAUUCCGCAUUAUUUUAAAUGAAGACCAAACUCAUAACUCAAAUAUUCGUCUCCGCGAUCAGAUCGUAGAAACUUUAUUUUCUUGUUACGAUGAUUUUCUACUUCACUCUGAAAUUCUUUGAACUUUUCAAAUGUUUCCGACUUAUGUUUCAUCGAGUAGAUAUACCCAUAUCUGCUCAAAUCAUCUGUGAAGGUCAGAAAAUAACGAUACCCGCCGCGAGCCUUAACACUCAUCGGACCACAUACAUCAGUAUGUAUUGUUUCCAAUAAGUCAGUUGCUCGCUCCAUUGUUCCGGAGAAUGGAGUCUUAGUCAUCUUGCCUAUGAGGCAUGGUUCGCAAGCAUCAAGUGAUUCAUAAUCAAGUCAUUCCAAAAGCCCAUCAGCAUGGAGUUUCUUCAUGCGCUUUACACCAAUAUGACCUAAAUGGCAGUGCCACAAAUAAGUUGCACUAUCAUUAUUAACUUUGCAUCUUUUGGCUUCAAUAUUAUGAAUAUGUGUAUCACUACGAUCGAGAUCCAACAAACCAUUUUCAUUGGGUGUAUGACCAUAGAAGGUUUUAUUCAUGUAAAUAGAGCAACAAUUAUUCUCUAACUUAAAUGAAUAACCGUAUUGCAAUAAACAUGAUCAAAUCAUAUUCAUGCUCAACGCAAACACCAAAUAACAUUUACUCGUUCAACACUAAUCCCAAAAGUAUAGGGAGUGUGCGAUGAUGAUCAUAUCAAUCUUGGAACUACUUCCAACACACGUCGUCACUUCACCCUUAACUACUUUCUGUUCAUUCUGCAACUCCCGUUUCGAGUUACUACUCUUAGCAACUGAAUUAGUUUCAAAUGCCGAGGGGUUGCUAUAAAUACUAGUAAAGUACACACAACUAACAUGUAUAUCAAAUAUACCUUUGUUCACUUUGCCAUCCUUCUUAUCCGCCAAGUAUCUAGGGUAGUUUCACUUCCAAUGACCAUUUCCAUUGCAGUAGAAGCACUCAGUCUCAGGCUUAGGUCCAGACUUGGGCUUCUUCACUUGAGCAGCAACUUGCUUGCCAUUCUUCUUGAAGUUCCCCUUCUAUCCCUUUGCCCUUUUCUUGAAACUAGUGGUCUUGUUAACCAUCAACACUUGAUGCUCUUUCUUGAUUUCUACCUUCGUCGAUUUCAGCAUCGCGAAGAGCUCGGGAAUUACUUUCGUCAUCCCUUGCAUAUUAUAGUUCAUCACGAAGUUCUAGUAACUUGGAGAUAGUGACUAGAGAACUUUGUCAAUUACUAACUUAUCUCGAAAAUUAACUCCCACUUGAUUCAAGCAAUUGUAGUACCCAGACAAUCUGAGUACAUGCUCACUGGUUGAGCUAUUCUCCUCCAUCUUGUAGGCAAAGUACUGUCAGAAGUCCCAUACCUCUCGACACGGGCAUGAGUCUAAAAUACUAAUUUCAACUCUUGGAACAUCUUAUAUGCUCCAUGACGUUCGAAACAUUUUUGAAGUCCUGGUUUUAAGCCGUAAAGCAUAGUGCACUAAACUAUCAAGUAGUCAUCAUACCGAGCUUUUAUGAAAACGUUCAUAACGUCUGCAUCUGCUCCUGCAAUAGGUCUGUCAACUAGCGAUGCAUCAAGGACAUAAUUCUUCUGUGUAGCAAUGAGGAAAAUCCUCAGAUCACGGACCAAGUCCGCAUCAUUGCUAUUAUCAUCUUUCAAAUUAUAUUUCUCUUGGAACAUAUAAAAAUAAAUGGGGAGCUACAUCACGAGCUAUUGAUCUACAACAUAGAUAUGCUAAUACUACUAGGACUAAGUUCAUGAUAAAUUAAAGUUCAAUUAAUCAUAUUACUUAAGAACUCCCACUUAGAUAGACAUCCAUCUAGUCAUCUAAAUGAUCACGUGAUCCAAAUCAACUAAACCAUGUCCGAUCAUCACGUGAGAUGGAGUAGUUUUCAAUGGUGAACAUCACUAUGUUGAUCAUAUCUACUAUAUGAUUCAUGCUUGACCAUUCGGUCUCCAGUGUUCCGAGGCCAUAUCUGCAUAUGCUAGGCUCGUCAAGUUUAACCCGAGUAUUCUGCGUGUGCAAAACUGGCUUGUACCCGUUGUAUGUGAACGUAGACCUUAUCACACCCGAUCAUCACGUGGUGUCUCGGCACGACGAACUAUCGCAACGGUGCAUACUCAGGGAGAACACUUAUACCUUGAAAUUUAGUGAGAGAUCAUCUUAUAAUGCUACCACCGAACUAAGAAAAAUAAGAUGCAUAAAGGGUAAACAUCACAUGCAAUCAAUAUAAGUGAUAUGAUAUGGCCAUCAUCAUCCUGUGCCUUUGAUUUCCAUCUCCAAAGCACCGUCAUGAUUACCAUCGUCACCGGCUUCACACCUUGAUCUCCAUCGAAGCAUCGUUGUCGUCCCGCCAACUAUUGCUUCUACGACUAUCGCUACCGCUUAGUGAUAAAGUAAAGCAAUUACAUGGCGAUUGCAUUUCAUACAAUAAAGCGACAACCAUAUGUCUCCUGCCAGUUGUUGAUAACUCUGUUACAAAACAUGAUCAUCCGAUACAACAAUUUAUAUAUCAUCACGUCUUGACCAUAUCACAUCACAACAUGCCCUGCAAAAACAAGUUAGACGUCAUCUACUUUGUUGUUGCAAGUUUUACGUGGCUCCUACGAGCUUAGCAAGAACCAUUCUUACCUACGCAUAAAAACCACAACGAUUUUUUGUCAAGUGUGCUUUUUUAACCUUCAACAAGGACCGGGCGUAGCCACACACGAUUCAACUAAAGCUGGAGAAAUAGACACCCACUAGCCACCUGUGUGCGAAGCACAUCGGUAGAACCAGUCUCGCGUAAGCGUAUGCGUAAUGUCGGUCUGGGCCGCUUCAUCCAACAAUACCACCGAAUCAAACUAUGACAUGCUGGUAAGCAGUAUGACUAUUAUCGCCCACAACUCUUUGUGUUCUACUCGUGCAUACAACAUCUACGCAUAAACCUGGCUCUGAUACCACUGUUGGGGAACACAGUAAUUUCAAAAAAAUUCUACGCACACGCAAGAUCCAUCUUGGUGAUGUAUAGCAACAAGCGGGAGAGUGUGUCCAUGUACCCCCGUAGACCGAAAGGGGAAGCAUUAUGACAACGCGAUUGAUGUACUCGUACGUCUUCACGAUCUGACCGAUCCUAGCACCGAACGUACGGCACCUCCACGAUCUGCACACGUUCAGCUCGGUAACGUCCCACAAACUCUAGAUCCAGCUGAGGUCGAGGGAGAGUUUCGUCAGCACGACGGCGUGAUGAUGGUGUUGAUGAAGUUACCGACGGAGAGUUUCGCCUAAGCACUACAACGAUAUGACCGAGGUGGAAAUCUGUGGAGGGGGCACCGCACACGGCUAAGACAACUGUCAACUUGUGUGUCCUGGGGGUGCCCCCCUCCCCCGUAUAUAAAGGAGCAAGGGAAGGGGGCCGGCGGCCUCAUAUGGUGCGCCCCAAGGGGGAAUCCUACUCCUACUAGGAAUACGUUCCACCUUUCCUAGCCCAAUUAGGAGGGGAAGGAAAGAGGAGGAGGAGAGUAGGAAAGAGGGGGCCGGCCCCCAAGCCCUAAAACAAUUCAGUUUGGGCCUAGGGCAGCGCGCCCCACAGCUCCCUAGCUGCUCUCUAUUUCCACUAAGGCCCAUGAAGGCCCAUUGACCCGCCGGGGUGUUCCGGUAACUCCCCGGUAGUCCGGUAUUUAUCCGGUGACCCCCGGAACCUUUUCGGUGUCCGAAUAUAACCUUUCAAUAUAUCAAUCUUUAUGUCUCGAUAAUUUGGAGACUCCUCGUCAUGUCCUUGAUCUUUCCGGACCCUACGGGUUCGAGAACUAUGUAGACAUGACCGUGACACAUCUCCGGUCAAUAACCAAUAGCGGAACCUGGAUGCUCAUAUUGGAUCCUACAUAUUCUACGAAGAUCUUUAUCGGUCAAACCGCAUAACAACAUACGUUGUUUCCUUUGUCAUCAGUAUGUUACAUGCCCGAGAUUCGAUCGUCGGUAUCAUCAUACCUAGUUCAAUCUUGUUACCGGCAAGUCUCUUUACUCGUUCCGUAAUGCAUCAUCCCGCAACUAACUCAUUAGUCACAUUGCUUGCAAGGCUUAUAGUGAUGUGCAUUACCGAGAGGGCCCAGAGAUACCUCUCCGAUACACGGAGUGACAAAUCCUAAUCUUGAUCUAUGCCAACCCAACAAACACCUUCGGAGACACCUGUAGAGCAUCUUUAUAAUCACCCAGUUACGUUGUGACAUUUGAUAGCACACAAGGUGUUCCUCCGGUAUUCGGGAGUUGCAUAAUCUCAUAGUCUGAGGAACAUGUAUAAGUCAUGAAGAAAGCAAUAGCAAUAAAACUUAACGAUCAUUAUGCUAAGCUAACUGAUGGGUCUUGUCCAUCACAUAAUUCUCCUAAUGAUGUGAUCCCGUUCAUCAAAUGACAACAUGUCUAUGGUCAGGAAACUUAACCAUCUUGAUUAACAAGCUAGUCUAGUAGAGGCAUACUAGGGACAGUUUGUUUUGUCUAUGUAUUCACACAUGUAUCAAGUUUCCGGUUAAUACAAUUCUAGCAUGAAUAAUAAACAUUUAUCAUGAUAUAAGGAAAUAAAUAGUAACUUUAUUAUUGCCUCUAAGGCAUAUUUUCUUCAUAUUCCUCCCGCGGUAGGCUCACCGGCUUCCCCGACUUCCCCGUACCGGCGCCGCUACAGAGGCCGCCACAGCGUGCGGCAGCGGGCGGGGCACGUGGCUGGCCGAGAUCAUGGAUUGGCACACCGACAAAAAGCAUUGGCUUGGAUCCUUUCACACCGCCAGGCAGGCAGCCUGCGAGUAUGACAGUUAAUUGGUGUGGCUGGAUGGUGUCGAGGGCCGCCGGAAUUUUGAGUUGGGUGAAAUGCCGUUGCUGGAUCCAGUUCAGCCAGGGGUGGUAAACGCACGGGAGGCAAGGGAGGACCGGCAGGCGAGGGUAAGGUUCACGACGGAGGCCGCCGCCGAGGCGUACAUGGCUGAGCUCCACUGCGGGUACCCAGAGCAAGUGGAGGCGAAGCGCCGCCUGUAUGAGCAGUGGGCGGCACGGGAGGAGGGGGCAGUGGUCAUCGUCUUGUCAAGCAACGACGAGGACAACAGAGGCAACGGAAGUGUAGGCGGCGAAGGAAGCAACGACGCCGGCUUCCAAAAUGUCUGAUGUUGAAUAUUCCGCGGUAACGAGGACGACGACACAGGGCUGACCCCAUGGUCAGUGGGAUAUCCAGGGCGUGCAUGUCGCUCAUGCAUGAUAGCGACUAGAUUAGUAAGUUUUAUGCCUAUGUUUCGGUUAGAUUAGUUAAGUAGACUAUGUUUUACGUUUGUAAAAUAUUAUGGCCAUGUGUCGAAUUAUGGCUAUGUUUAAUCGAAUUUGUGUUCAUCAUAUCCGAAUUCAGUAUUACUCUAAUAAAUUUAGGGGAUCGGCUAGGUCAUGUCAAAAAAGAGUGGAGUGUAAAUAAUCCACUAAGCUUUACUCGGCUGGGUACUCCACUAUUUUUAUGGAAUCGGCUAGAGAUACUCUAAGUGAGAAUAGCUAUCCCUUUUUCCCAUCAAGAAAAAGUGUUACAUAUUCCUAAUAAUAGUUCUAAGUUUUUCUGCUUGAAAACAUUCUUCAAUGUUUUGUGUAUUCACAACUCUAGGCCGUACGACUCCAUCGGUUGAUGACUACUAUUUUUCCAAUAAAAACAUUACUAGAGUUCUGAGCCAGAUCAAACAAUCCUGUACAUACCACAGUGUGUCGUUGAGACUAUCCAUAGCGGGGGGUAACUUAGACUACCUAUAUAGUGGGGAGUAACAUAUGCGUGUUGUCAUGCAACACUUCAUUUAUUAGGUUGUAGACUUAUCUUGUCUUGGUACGUGUGAUGUUACUCGUAGUGUGAGACCACAUGCCACUCUUUUCUCAUUAAUUACUCCCUCCAUUUCUUUUUUACUCUGCCUAUAAAAUUAGCGUCUAGUCAAAUUUUGUAAAGUUUGACCAAAUUUAUAUUAAAAAAUCUCAGCAUCUACAUUACUAAAUAUAUAUUUGAUAAGAAACUAAAUUCCAUAAUGAUUCUAAUGAUAUUGGUUUGGUAUUGUGAAUGUUGAUAUUUUUUUCUAUAAGUCUGGUUAAACUAGAGAUACUUUGACUUUGGGCAAAACUUAUAUGCAGACUAAAAAUGAACGGAGGGAGUAUUUGCCACAUCAUCUAUUUUACCUAAUAUGUGUGAUGUUACCACUUUCGUUACUCCCACUAUGGGUAGUCUGACAAUCUCAUCUUGCCAGUAUAUCAACAUUUUGUUUUUUGGUACCGACAAAUUAAAUUUCUUGACAAAAUUAAUUUAAGUUAACAAUAAUGAAGACAAUCGAAAAUCUUAUAUUCAAAAUUAAUUUCAAAUAGUUUCGGUAGGGUUUAGAUAUCAUGUUUUGCAUUUUUGGAAUCAAAUAUUUCAAUUAAGAAGUGGCAAAUGUUCAUAUAUAUUAAAAUAAUAAUAAUGUUACUAAUAUACUCCCUUAGUGAUUAAAGAUCUUAUAUUUUUUACAGAGAGAGUAAUUCAUAACUAUUCGGUCAAAUCCCCCUCCUCUAACUGUAUCCCUAUUUCUAAAAUUCACCUUAUUUAUUCCCGAAUCCCUAACCCUAGCUUGACACAGACGAUGAUUAGUAGGUCGAUACUUAUGUGUGGUAACGACGUCGGUGACAACGGGGUGGCUCACUGUGGUGGUGAAAUCCACACAUGGUAGUCUCUUGAGCCUGCUUGAGAGAUGGGCGCCGACGCAAGGAUGGUGGAUGGUGAGCCGUGGGCGGAUGUUCAUGUAGUGUAUCAUGGCUCAGAUGCAUAGGUUGGUAAAAACUGUGCAAGAUACACACGUUGUCGUAAUGUCACUAGAGACCACUCCUACUUAUCAUAAAGAAAGCUUGCACAACCUAAGCCAAACAAACAUGUUCUAAGGAUGGACAAGAAUCUCCAUUGAAGUAAGGCUCCUAUUUAUGAUAAUUUUUUUGAUGAUACGACUUAUGUUUUCAUUGAUAAGAGAAUUGCCACAUGUGUAGAAAUUGAACACGAAUAUAUUAAAAUGAUUGGUCAUAUUGGUCGUUCUUUUAUGGUAGAGUUAAAAUUGAUUAUGAUGAUUCUAACCUCUCUGAAAUUAUGUGAAUUUUGCAAUGUCAAAAGUACAAUUAGUGAGGCAUGCUAGUUGAGCGCCAUCGAUUGGAUCUCAGCUACCAUCUCAUUCUUUCUCUACCUAUUUUUCUACCACAGAAUUUGUUACCAGCUUCAAACUAUGCUUACAUGUGUAAGAAUGCCCCAAGUGAAAUAAGCAAUUUUGUUUUAUCUUUAAACACGGAUGGAAAGGUGAGUAGAGGUCUAGAGGAGGUUCCCUUGCAGCUUGCUAAAACAAGGAGAACAAUGAUUGGAUAUCGAUCCAUGCGGUUGGCAAUUCAAUUGAGUCAUUUUACAAUGCAUCCGGACGAUAUGGACCGUCCGUCGGAGCGAAUUCGACGGUCCAGAUCCGAUGCAAUACGCUGAUGUCACGUGUAUUAUAUCACACCCCGAGGGGCAUUUUUGGGAGAAAAAAUAUUUCGAACUGAUCUGAUUUUCCCUCCCAAAUAUUUCGAGGGUAUUCUCGGUAAGAAUUUCAGGGCUAUUUUCGGUUCGAUAUUUAUCCCGUUCGCUAGGGUUUAUUCCUCGCCGCCGCUACGGUUUUAAUCCUCGCCGGCAGGAUCUAGCCGCUCGUCGCAGCCCCUCCCUCCCUCGUCGCCGGCAGGAUCUAGCCGCGCGUCGCGGCCCCUCCCUUCCUCCACCCCAAUUCCCUCGCGAUCUCGCACCACCUUUUCAACGAACACGAAGGAGGCCCACUGCCCUCCCCGCGGCGGCUGCCGGCGAAGAGUCGGCGCCAUCCCACCUCCCAGUCCUCCAUGCAAGUGCCUAUAGCCACAAGGUUGGAGGAAACCUCUUUCCCACACCCCAAUUGGUUGUUUGCGUCCUCUACAUAUCAUUUCUCAGCCAUGGCUGCAGCUUUGAUCUGGCCAUGCAUCUCGUCUGAUGGCAAGGUGGUUGGGUAUGGAUCAUGUUCUGCGGGACUAGAUGAAGCCGGCCGCCGGCCUCGACGGCCAGCCCCAUUCGUCCAGCCCCGACUGCUUGAUCUACGAACGUUCAAUCGUUGCAUUCAACAUGUAUUCUUUCAAUUUUGCUGAUAGGUGAGAUUUGGAGAUCAAUAGAGAUGAUAAACUAUUAAUUUUGGAAUGUACUAUAAACAAUUCAUAGCUUAUGUUGCUCAAUAUUUACGAUGCUCGCUUCUUCUUGUGCAAUUGCUGGACUGGGAUCAACAGACUUGGCAUGUGCUUUAUAUGAAAAAUUAGAUUCACAUGGGAUAUCCACCUUUUCAAGAUUGCUGUUAAGUCUUAUUAUGAUGUUUUAGCCUUGUUAAAGGGAGAGUAAUGGUCCUCGCAAAAAGCAGAGAGAAAGGAAUGAGCAUUCGAUUCUUCCAUAUGUUGCAUUUCAUUCUUCCAUGUUUAGUUAUGUCUAACAUUUGUUACAUGCACACACUUGACAAGGUUAGUACAAGUAGUAAUUUCCUCUGUUUUGCAGGGCUAUGACAGAACAUGCUAUGUGAUUCCCUGAGGCAGGAUGGAUGUACCAUGGCCACAGCACUAUGCUCCUGAAGGUAACCGCUUCAAUUCAGCGUUGCAGCACCUGUAGAGCCCCCCUAUGGUACGUGCUUUUACUCUUGUUAUCCUAUGCUCUAUUAUUUUGGCUUUGCAGCCUGCCUACGAGACAUAGCUGGGAUUGCGUGUUGAAUCGGGCAGUAUUUUUGACUUCUGUUGUGAGGCUAUGCUCAUGCUUUAAUAAAUUUUUCUCUCGUAUGAAAAUAGACAUAUCAUAAUCCAUUAUUCUUCUAGGGUUGCCCCAGGCACCAUUACUGUCACAUGGUAGUAAAAAGCAAAUAUAGAUUUCUACGAGAUCCUGUAGAGACCAAAUUUAUUUCAAGCAAAAUAUAGUAACCAAUAUUAUUAAAGUUUUAUAACUUGACUCAUGUGCAAUGGACUAAGGACACGGCUAGGAAACCUUCUUUGGGACUAAAACCCAACCACACCCUACUCUACCGCUUUAUGGCCAAGUGUACACUCCACAUGUAAGAAUGAACCACAAUGCUGGACUAACUGCUUGCAUCCUCGUCGUCUUCAACCGCAGUUGCAUCCGAUUGCCUAGCAUGGUACUGCUUGAACCUACUCCUGUAUUUUAUUUUGUUGUAGGGUGAAUCGACAAGCACAACAGGUAGCUCUCUUCUAAAUUUGUCGAUGUAGGCCUGCAUGCGAGGACAUGUUAGUAUCGUUCCAUAUGUUUCAGAAAAUGACAGAAUUUUAGGUGUUACUCUACGUACUUCGUCAUAUUGCAACCUCAGUUUUACUCCUGUAAAUAAUUCGAUGUUCUUCAGCAUGUACAGUGCACAACAAGAACUGCAACAUUUUAUGUUGUUAGAUCAGCAUUUCAGAUAUUAACAAUCUAAAACAAAAACAAAAGCUAAUAUUGUUGACUGACGUCUCAUCGGAUUUUGGCACAUUAAUAUUCCGUACUGGCCAUUGCAUCACGUUAAUGUCUUCCCAUGCAUUGCUUUCAAUCCCAUUGACUCGCAUCGCUGCUCUCAGAUGUGCUUCCAUCCCACGUACCUGCAAGCCCAAUGGGAUGAGAAGUUGCCUACGACUAAUACUUACAUACGAUGUUAAAUCCUUUCUUUUAAUUAAAUAUGUUGAAAUUCUCACCACGUUAUUUACUUCUCUGGGUAUCAUACAGUGGAAAAGUGAAUCAAGAACCUGAAUCUCCUUCCUUCUGGGUUUACGACCACAAGGAACCAGUGGGUGUUUAAACUAUUCAUAGGUAGGAAAACCUGGAGUGCACAGAUAAAUUAGAUCAACGUGCAUAAUAAUAAAAAAGUCUGUUCUACGUCAGCUUAAAAUACCAUAUCAUGUUUCAGGUAGGUGGUGCCUUCUGUUGUUCCAGGAAUGCCUGCCAAAGCGUCCUCGUAGCACUCCUCUAUCCUACCAUCUCUUUCGAGCUUAGCGACGCCGGCCACCCUCUCAAUGUAAACCAGUUGGCCAUCCCUUGUGUCAAUUGGUUGAUUAUGACACAUGAGCUAGAUCGCAGAUCAACCACCUACAACAAUAAUCAAGUUAAUUGUAUUGUACAAAAAUGAAACUUCAUAAACUAAUUUGUGAAAUACUAUCUUACUUCGUCACCCAACCAUACGCCAUCUUCAGAUUCAUCUUUAUGGGCGAGGCAUUGCAAAUGCUUUGAUAGCACGACAAUGUCAUCAACUAAGACCAUUUGUUUUUCACGAUUUGUAGUGUUGAUUAGUGACGCCACGAAAUCCUGUCGAACCACGUCUAGCUGGUCCCUCUGGGUUUCAGGAACUUCUGACCUCUUUUUUAAGUUGCUAGAGCCGAUUUUCCUCUUUUUAUUGUUCGUGUCCUCGGAACCAUUUGUACACUCUGAUGGAGUCUUGUUUUUCCUUUUUUUUCUUCUCAGUGUCGUACGAAGCAUACUCGUCAUUCUUAAAUAAUUGCAAUACCACCCUUUUCUUUUCGCCCCCAUGAUUUGGUGGCGUCGAUUCAACCACACUUACUUGUUGCUGCUUUUGAAAGGAUUCAUCAUGGCUGUCAUCAUCUUUGAAGGUACGGGGCUCUUCAGGAUCUCGCAAUCCCAUAGCCUUCACAGAGUGCUGCUUACUUCGUCUGUUGAACGGAUUCUGUCGGACGAAAUAAACCGCGUGUUAGCCUUUAGCAGAUUCUUGCUCAAUUAUAGGUAAAAUGUGCAUCACCUGGAAAUCUUCAAGGCUUGUGGUGGCUUUGGAAUGCAUUUGCUUAUCAAAACUAGGAGCUCCCUGGAUAUCAUCCACCUCUUUCAGAAGCUUAUGAACACCACUGAGAUCCUGUUUGAUUUUUGCAGCAGCUCUUUCGAAUGCUUCAUCCUGUAUGUGGAAGAUCAAAUGUUAUUUCUGAAACAACAAUGAUUGUUUCAUAAUUAAGUUAACAUGCGUACGUCAAAAUCUUCAUCAAGGUUCUUCAUGGGGGGCUCCAUGUCAUCAUUUUUUAUUCCCUGCUUACAAUCGUGCUUAGCAGCGACCUCCGUGACAUCCUUUUGUUUCCCCUGGUCAGAAGCCUGCUCAGCAUUCUCAACAGAGGCCUCCAUUGGGUGUGAAGGUGCCCCGAGGUCAGAUAGAUGUAUGUCCUCCACUCCUGGAAAUAUUCCAUCCUGUUUUUUCUUUAAAAAACACAUGUUAGUCUGGGGUGUUUUUAUAGUAAACUAAAUUAGAAAAAAACUUGUACACGUAAAUUUCCAAUUAUAUAUACUAAUCUCAUAAUUCUAGGCUUACCUUCAAUUCUUUGAUGAGGUCCUCCGUGAGCUUGCCAUUUGUACGGGUACGCCUAAGGCACUCAUCCAUUUUCUUUUCAAGGGUGCACAUCAUAUGGUUUUGUUCUGUACCGGACUCCCGCACGAGGGAGGCAACUUCUUGCAAAUCAGUCAAUACACGUCCGACGAGUACCUUAAUCUGAGACUUUGAAACAGUUAGAAUCAUAUAACUUCAUACUAGUUGGAAUGUUACAAUAUGUAUUUGUGCCUGAUGUAACUCAUUUACUUGAGCGCCAGUCUUCGGAUUGGCCAGCGUACCAUCUCGUGCUGGAAUGAAAGGCCUCAUCAGGUCCUCAACAUACUGCAGUUUAGUGUCGUUAGUAUGAUUUAGAAAAUAUUUAUGUUACAUAAUCCAGGCAAUGUGCAGACAUUUUACCUCUCCAACUCCCAGAUAAUUAUUCUGGAUUAUAUUGUCAACCUUUUUUGCCUUCUCCUCGCUCCAGUUCUGGAUCAGCGGCCUUAACCUUGAUUCAUACGAGAUGCUAGAGUCCAAUUGGUGCACUCUGAACUUCUCAUAGUACCAUGUCUGCAUGACAACAAAAGCACUUUACAAACAUUCCCGUACAUUAUGUAAUGUAUGUUAGGUAACUGAUAAUUGUACUACUACGAAUUACCUGCAGCAGUGGUAGAUUCCCCUCCAGAAUUGCCUCACCAUUUACAAAAUUCUUCACGCUAUCCAUAAGAUAGUCAAGCUUUAGCUGUCCAAGAUUUGUGCCCUUUAUCGUCUCAACGUUUCUAACAACCCCAAUAUAUUUGUUAUCCACAUACUCCUCUUUUGUUCGGCAUACAUAUUUGCCUAUGGUGUAGAAGACAAAUGACUUGACAAAAUUUGGUGUGCUGUCGACUUUCAUCUUGGCUAGCAAUCCUUUGAAAGUUAUUUUGGUGUCAUUACGGUCUUUCAGUUUCUUCCACAACUCCAUAUUAUCAUCCGAUUUGAAGGGACGUGCUUUUUCCCAUGGCAGGGCAUGCCUGUUAUAUGCGCUACAUCUUCUAGUGUGAUCCUACAUGGUCUCCCAUUGAUGAUAAAGGCAUCCUGCUCUGCAUCAUAUGAAUUAGCGAUGGCCAGGUAGAGUACACGUCUAAUUUUGAUGCUAGGUGUCUUGAGAAGUCCACCCAGUCCUAUCAACUGGAUGUACAUCCUUUGCUGCGUGUUUAAUCCGUUUAUGAACUCCUCAUAUGGCGGCAAAGAAGCAUCCUGGGUUCAAUGGAUGUGCUAGUGUGAUUAGAUUCAACAUCUAUACAAUUUAAACACUCAUACAGACGAAUACAACUUAUAUAUACCAACAUAAAAAUUGUGCUCUACGCUACUGCAUGAGGUACAAGCAUGCUGAGUUCCAUGUAUGUGCAAAUACUAUCAUGUGAUUCAGCUUGGUUACGUUUGAACGGUCAUCUAAGGUAAUCUCCAUUGCAAGGCACUUAUCUGAAAUAAAAUAAAGAUUGGAAAAUAAAAAACUAUCCAACCGGUCUCCUCAACUCUAGGCGCUAAUCAUGGUCAGUAGUAUGGAAUUAAAACAUGGGCCAUCGAUGCCUUCCAUAACUCGUGCGGAAGGAAAAAAAGAAGGCAAGCGCCCACUGCACUAAUUAGCAUCGACAAGACUAGACGCUAAGAUUUAGCCUCGAAUUAAUCAAUGAACUGCCAAUCUGGUCGGAAACAAAUCCUAGCGCCCUCCCCUAACGCCCCCCAACUUAAUUUGUUUAAAAACGUGCUGAGUUACAUGAAUAUGCAAACAACGAGUGGGGUCGCAGUAAGAGAUCAUGGGAGGAAGAUCGUGGCACGAAAAAUAGCAGCGACUGAGAUCGUGGGGAGUUACCAGAGGAUUCAUGUUUGGCUCCGUCGUUCGGUCUUGCUGGAUUCCUGGGUUGCUCCGUCCUUCUGUCUUGCUGGUUUGGGCAGCGCAGAAAGACGAACUAUUAUCUACGAGGUUUCAAAGGAUCCCUAUUUAUAGGGAUCGUAACAACCCGGGCAUAUAUCUGCGUAUAGAUUUCUUUGGUUGGAGGAAAUCAAGGGAGGGGACCCACCUGGUUGAAUAUUAGGGGGGCGUGGAGAGUUUAGCAAAGGUAAGUUAUGGUUUGAAAAAAAUCAAGGUAAGUUGUGUAACAACAUGUAGGUCUCCUGAGAAUCACGAUCAUCAAAAAGAUAUCAUUCCCGUUUCUUUGAAAAUCAGCCAAAAGAACUGGACCGCUUUUAUUAUUGCUUAUAAGUAAUUCACUGGACCUCUUUUAGGAUGAAAACUGGUUCUAAAGUCAACUAAGAUUGAGUCUUCACACGUGAAGUAUUUUACUCUCUUGUGAAGCUAUUUUAUUGCCCAUCCGAUCUUGCAUGCUCAUGCUCAUACCUUUUUUCCUCGUAUAUGUGAGACCAAAUUUUGUUAAUAAUACUGAAUCAUGUCUGGUGCUGCUCAAGAUGGCGCGACACCAUGGUUUUCACUACGGUGAGAUUUCGAUGAAAUAACUGAACUUCAUUCAUUUCAGCACUCACUGCAAUAUUUGCCUUUCAGCCAAAAUAUUUCAGGCUCACUGAAUUUCGGCCAAAAUAUUUCAGCACUCGCUGAAAUUUUUCUGAAACUUCUAACUAGCGAUGUUAAAAGAAAUCUGAAACUUCUAACUAGCGAUGCCAAAAUAUUUCAGCACUCGCUGAAAUUUUUCUGAAACUUCUAACUAGCGAUGUUAAAAGAAUUCUGAAACUUCUAACUAGCGAUGUUACAAAAAUUCCGAAGCUUCUAACUAGCGAUGUAAUUGUUCUGAAUCUUGUCCAGACUCCGACGACACUUAAAUAUAAAUUUAAGAAUUCAGUUAAACUUCCUAAGCUUCAAAAGUUCUGGUUGUAAAAAGAAAAUAUAUGUUUCAACGUCUCCCAUGCAGACCAAAUUUAUUUCCAGAAUAGUAUUUGGAACCAGUACUGUGAAAUAUUACAACUUGAUUAAUCCGCACUGGACUAUAAAAAUGGCUAGGAAACCUUCUUCGGGACUAAAACCAAACCACACCCUACUCUACCGCUUCAUAACCAAGUGUACACUCCAGAUCUAAGAAUCAACCACUGCUGGACUAACUGCUUGCAUCUUCAUGAUCUUCAAUCGCAGCUGCAUCCGAUAGGCUAGCAUUAUACUUCUUCGGCCUUUUCAUGGACUUCAAUUUGUUGUAGGGCGAAUUAAGAAGGACAACAGGCAGCUCUCUUCUAUAAUUGUCAAUGUAUGCCUGCAUGGGAGGAUAUGUUAGUAUCGUUCCAUAUGUUUACAAAAUUGACAGAAUUUUAGGUGUUACUCUACGUACUUGGUCAUAACGCAGCGUAAGAUCUUCUACUUAAAGAAUUCGAUGUUCUUCAGCAUGUAGAGUGCACAAGAAGAACUACAACAAUUAAUUCUGUUAGCACCAUUUCACGUAUUAACAAUGAAAAACAUAUUUAGAAGCUAAUACUGUUGACUGACUUGUCAUCUUUACUUGGAACAUGAACAUGCUUUACUGUCCAUUGCGUCACGUUAAUGUCUUGCCAUGCAUGGCUUUGUGGUCCAUUGAUUCGCGGUGAUGCUCUCAGAUGUGCUUCCACCCCACGUAUCUGCCGAAGUCCAUGGUAUGAGAAGUUGCUCACGAUUCAAGGUUAGGUAUGAUGCUAAAUGCUGUGUUAUAUCGAAAGAUGUUUAAAAUCUCACCACGUGAACCACUUGUGUGCUUACUACGUAUCUGAAAAGUGAAUCAAGAAUCUGAAUCUCCCUCCUUCCGGGGUUUACAACCACAAGGAACCAGUGGGUGUUCGCCAUGUUCAUAGGUAGAAAAACCUGGACAACAAAGAUGAUUACAUCAACAUGCAUAAUAAUUAGAAAAAUAAAUGUGUUUAUGUCAUGGUUAGAUGGUACCAGAUCAUGUCUGAGGUAGUUGUCUCCUUUUCUCGUUCCAUGACUGCCAGCCAAAGCGGCCUCGUGGCAGUUUUGGAUCAGCGACCUUAACCUUGAUGCAUACGAGAUGGUAUAGUCCAAUUGGUGCACCGUCCACUUAUCGUAGUACCACGUCUGCAUUACAACAAAAAUAGCUUAGAAUUUUUUCCAUAAAAUUAAAUGUAUGGUAUGUUAAUAAUGAUUGUAUUACUUGCAGCAGUGCUAGGUUGCCCUCCAGAUUUGCUCCACCAUUUACUAGUCCUUCCUUCCCAUAUCGUUGUACGUAUAACUUUCCAACACGAAAAUUAGCGCAAGUUUCAUUACAAAGAGAGGCAUUCAUGACUAAAAAUGGAAGGCAUGCACGAUCUCCCGUAAGUUUUGCUAAAGCACAUCUAGAUGUGCUCUAAGUAUUGCUUAUCAAAGUCUUAUGUCAUUGAUUUUAUGCUAAGAUUUGUGCAAGCCUUUUUUUGUCCUUUUUUCUUUUCUUUCUAGACACACCCGUAUCCCUUCGGUAUAAUGGGAUUGCAUGAAGACUUGGGAAGGAGGGAGUAUACAGAAUACAAGGAUCUCGAUCGUUACCGGAGGAUUCUCUCGAUGGCGACCGACUCCAUUGCCGUUUGCUUUCAUCUUUUGCUUCGCCGGCUUCUCCGACGUCACCGACCUGGUAGCUACUUUGGGUGGCGUGCGGUGGUAAUUCGGUGUAGUCAUGGAAGGCUAGGUGUGGGGUGGAAGUAUACGAUCUAUGUCGUGAAAAGCUUCGUAUUUAUAGGGGAUUCUCUAACAACCGAUCACAAGGAAAUAUUGGGAAUUUGGGAUCUCACGAAGAGGUAGUUUUAGAUCACAUAAUGUUUAUUUAUAGGGGAUUCUCUAACAACCCACCACAAGGAAAUAUUGGGAAUUUGGGAUCUCACGAAGAGGUAGUUUUAGAUCACGUAAUGUUUUUAGCUAGUUUUUUAUUUUGCGAUUUUUUUAGCAAGUUUAGAUCAGUAAUCUCAACCGUGAAGCGUUUGGGCUUCUUGUGCUUUCUUAUACGGGCCUAUUAUAAUGGGAUGCGCCCAUUUGAAAUGUGAACAUGAGAAAGGAAGUGAGGACUCCAACGGCUGCGACGAGCCCCGUCCCAAUUAUUUGUGAUGUAUUUUACUCUCUUGUGAAGCUAUUUUAUUGCCCAUCCGAUCUUGCAUGCUCAAAAUCAUACCUUUUUUCCUCGUAUCUGUGAGACCAAAUUUUGUUAAUAACACUGAAUCAUUUCUGGUGCUGCUCAAGAUGUCACGACACCAUGGUUUUCACUUCGGUGAGAUUUCGAUGAAAUAACUGAACUUCAUUCAUUUCAGCACUCACUGCAAUAUUUGCCUUUUAGCCAAAAUAUUUCUGCACUCACUGAAAUUUUUCUAAAACUUCUAACUAGCGAUGUUAAAAAAAUUCUGAAACUUCUAACUAGCGAUGUUAAAAAGAUUCUGAAACUUCUAACUAGCGAUGUAAUUGUUCUGAAUCUUGUCCAGACUCCGACGACACUUAAUUAUAAAUUUAAGAAUUCAGUUAACCUUCCUAAGCUUCAAAAGUUCUAGUUGUAAAAAGCAAAUAUAUGUUUCAGCGUCUCCCAUGCAGACCAAAUUUAUUUCAAGAAUAGUAUUUGGAACCAGUACUAUGAAAUAUUACAACUUGAUUAAUCCGCACUGGACUAUGCACAUGGCUAGGAAACCUUCUUCGGGACAAAAACCAAACCACACCCUACCACUAGUAGGAAAAGGGGCUUUUACCCUGGUUUGUAACGGCCUUUUGUCCCGGUUUUCGAACCGGGACUAAAGGGUCAUUACUAAAGCCCUAACCCUUUAGUCCCGGUUCUUACACGAACCGGGACAGAAGGUCCUUCACGUGGCCGCUGCUGCCAGCCCAGGCAGGGGGGCCUUUUGUCCCGGUUGGUGCCAACAACCGGGAAUAAUAGGCAGGGCCUUUUGUCCCGGUUGGUGUCACCAACCGGGACCAAUAGGCAGGGCCUUUUGUCCCGGUUGGUGUCACCAACCGGGACCAAUAGGUAUCCACGCGUCAGCAUUUCAGGGGCUGGGGUUUUUGUUUUUUUCUGAAAGGGGGGGGGUUGGGGGGUUUUGGGGGUUAAUUUAGGUGUUCCAUAUAUUGUGUUAGCUAGCUAAUUAAUAGAGAGAAGUGUCCUCUCUUAUCUCCGUGCUUGGUCGACGCUACCUAUUAUAUACAUAUGGAGAGGACUAGACACGCUAGCUAGUAAGCAAAUGAAGGAAACAGAAGAUCGUCAUGAACAUAUGCAUGCAGAGAGAAGUGAUAUCGACCACCUCUCCUUCUCCGAGAGAUUGGUCGAACAACAAGUUCUCGUAUAUCUAUCUGACACUACCGGCUACAUAUAUACAAUAAUUAUCUCUUACAAUAUAAUCUCCUAAUUAAAUUGUAAGAACACAAGGUCCACAUAGUAUUCUCCGUUUUCAGCGAUCACGUGGUCAAGGAAGAAUGCCGCCAAUUCCUCUUGAAUUGAUCGCAUACGAUCUUCUGCUAGGAGUUCAUCCCGCAUCCGAAACAUCUAAUUUGAAGAAGGGGGUCAAUACCUAUAUAUAUGAAUAAAUGAAACUCGACACAAAUGAUGGUAAUAAAAUAAAAUUGUGAAUAUAAUUGCUUACGCACUUCAUAUUGUUCGUCAGAGUAGCCCCGCUCACAGGUCGUGUGGUGGAUAGACUCGCAAACGUAGUAUCCACAGAAAUCAUUCCCUUGUUCCUGCCACAACCACUUUACAAGAAAUGGAGGCCAAUCUAACUGAUAAGAAAGCAUGCUAAAUGGUAUUGAUGAAACUAGCGCUUGAAUCACUAGGAGAUGUGCGGAACAUGCUACUCUUGUACUUACUUUCGGGUGUCUAAAUUGCAGCUUCUUCGCCAGUCCCGGAGCUUUUGUGGCGAAUUUUCUCCAAACCCUGCCAGACAAAGAAAACAAUUACUUGAUAUCAGGAAAUGAACAAAGUUGCUGAUAUGGUGAAUAAUGAUCGAUUUAACUUACUUCUCGAGCAUUUGAGUCAUGUCCGCAUAGUCCUGGGGAUCUUUUCGUCUCGAGUCUAAGACGAUUACUACUCCCUGCUCAAGCUUAAUCUCUAGGAGAAUAUAGUGGAAGCUGCGCAUGCAUGCAUAAGUCAUCAAUUACAUUACCAUAACAUGGACUAAUAAGGGAAACCGAAUAUGCACAAGACAGUAACACUCACUUGAAGUUGUAAGGAAAGAGUAUUAUAUCUUUGUUUUGAUUUAAUACCAACGAUCGUAGCAAGUUGGCCUCGGCUUCUUUGGGAUGUUUUUCAACCGUAAAUGCAUCUAUGAGAUUUGUGUUAGUGAACCCAAUAUCACCGAUUUGUCUUUUCUUAAAUUCGGUGAUCUUCAAUCUGCAUAAUAUAGUGAGGAUAAUUAUAAAUACAUGCAAUUAAAGAGCUGACCUAUAUAGAGAGACUUAAUGACAGAAGUAGUACUACUUACAGACAGUAGCAAGUGAUCGUUGAUUUAUCGAGGGCCUUUUGAUUGAAAAACUGGAAGAACUCCUCAAAUGGAACAUUCAGCAGUUCAAUUCCAACGAGGUCAUGCUCCGGUUUAACUAUCAGCAUCAAAGUAUUCAUCCCAUCAGACUCUCUGCAGGUUUUCAUGUACCAAUCAUGUAAUCUUGGCAUCAUCGUUGUUAGAGAUGUUUCAUCUUUGACGAGAGGCUUCCCGUAAUGGUAUUUGUGUUCGUCCACCUCCAUGAUUUCAUAAUGUACAUCGUCGGGCAGGUAAUCUCAAAGAUUGCUAUAACCGGCCACCAUCCUCGGAUCAUUAGCGACGAUGUCUUUAGACACCUUGAGCGGGGGGCACGAUUGGUUCGCUUGUUCACUGAGCUGGGCAAUUUUUUUCCCAGCUCGUCGUUCUUUUAACCUUUGAUCACUGACAGUACUUCCCGACCGCUCCGCUUCGACAAAUGUCUUUGCAAUAAUGCGCUCGUAGUUGCCUUUCGGCGGAGACUUUGGUGGUUUUGUCAGGGCAUCCAGAGUGCGCUUCGCUUUCACCGGAUCUACCUUCUCCUCUGGAGGUGGAUGUUUCUUUGCUUUCACCCCUUCAAAGAAGUUCUUCACUUCGGCUCGCACGAUCUUCGCGUUCUCCUCCUCGGUCCUCUCGUAUGGUAACUUCUCUGGAGUCUUCAGAGAAGGACCGAAUCUGUAUUGCCUCCCGCCUCUGGCAGCUGUACUGCUAGACGCCGACAGAGCAGACGGAGCGGCUGCGGCUGUCUUCUUUCCUUUCUUACGAGGUGGAGGAGAAGGACUACGACGCGCCGGAGCAGCCGGAGCGGCGGCGGGUCUCUUCCGCCCUUGCUGACGAGGCGGAGAAGGAGUAGGCUGGCUGGUCUGGCACGCCGGCGCGGGCGGAGAAGGAGGCGGAGUGCCGCCACGCGCCGGAGAAGGAGGCUGUUGAGUGCCCUGAUCACUCGCCGGAGAAGGAGGCGGAGUGUCGCCGUGCGCCAGAGAAGGAGGCUGAGUGCCUUGAUCACUCGCCGGAGGAGGAGGCGGCGGCGGAGUGCCCUUACUCGCCGGAGGCGUCCAGUUCGGAAGGUUAAUGAGCUCCUUCUGCCAUAGGCACGGAGUCUUCAGAGCUAAACCCAGCCGAGUCUCCCCUUCACCGGUAGGGUGGUCAAGCUGGAGGUCCUCAAAUACCUCCGUUAUUUCAUCCACCAUCACCCUAGCAUAUCCUUCUGGAAUCGGCCGACAGUGGUAGGUUGCGCCGGGUUCAGGAGGUAAAACAGAGCCAACAGCCGCCUUGACUUUGAAGUUCUGCCAUUGCGCCAUAAGGUGGCAAUGUUGAGACUCCGUGAUAGCAUCCACAUGGUAUCUAGCAGGAGCCGUCAAGACAUGCUCCAGCUGAAGCAGCUCGGUGGAAGCCACGCUGCUUCUCCGCUGAGAUGGCGGGGUAGCUUCGGGGGUAGUUUCGGCAUGUCGAUUGCCAUCUCGUUCCUCUAGCGCCUUAACCCUUUCGUGCAGCUUCUGAGUUUGGGUCUGCUCCAUUUUUUUCCUCCUCUCCUGGCUUUUGUAACCGCCUGCGUCCGGAAAACCAGCCUUCCACGGAACGGAGCCUGGCGUGCCUCGUGUCCGUCCAGGGUGCUCAGGAUUCUCGAGGGCCAUUGUGAGCUCGUCGUUCUCUCUGUCUGGAACGAACGUCCCUUCCUGCGCUACAUCGAUAUAUUGCUGAAUCUUCUUGACUGGUAUUCUCAAAAACUCGUUCGUCUAGACGCACCUCCCUGAUACAGGGUCCAAGGUUCCGCCAGCCCCCAAGAACCAAGUCCGGCAACGGUCUGUCCAGUUCAUUGUCUGUGGUUCGAUCCCUUUUUCAAGCAGAUCAUUCUUAGCCUUGGCCCACUUAGGUCGGGCUUUGAGGUAGCCACCUGACCCCGUGCGAUGGUGAAGCUUCUUCUUCGCAGCAUUCUUCUUGUUUGUCGCUCACAUCUUCUUACGCUUUUCCGAUGUCUUGUGGGCCACAAAUGCGGGCCAGUGAUCUCGGAUCUUCUCAUACCGGCCGAUGAAUUCUGGUGUCUCUUCUUUGUCGACAAACGUGUUCAGCUCAUUCUUCCACCUCCUGAAUAGGCCUGCCAUCUUCUAAAGAGCAUGAGACUUGAUUAAUUGCUCUUGAACUGGCUUCUCCGGAUCCUCCUCUGGCGGUAGGGUGAAAUUUGCCUUCAGCUCAGUCGAAAGAUCAUCUUUCUACAUAUCAUUGACAUAAGACACCUCAGGGUCUUCCUUCUUAGGCUUAUACCAUUGCUGGAUGCUGAUCGGGAUCUUGUCCCUAACUAGAACCCCGCACUGAGUAGCAAAUGCGUCCUUUGUCCGGAUGGGUUCAAUCGGUUGGCCGUCGCACGCGAUUGCUGUGAUCUCAAACCUUUCAUCCGAGCGCAACUUUCUCUUCGAGCCUCGUCUCUUUACCGCAGUUGUGCUCGAUCCGGAGGGCUAGAAAAAAGAAGAAAGACGAGUGUUAAUUAAUAUGUGUACAUACCAAAACAAUGAAUGCAUCAAUUAGCUAGUCAGCAAAGGCUUAACUAAUAUAUUUACCUGGCCGGACUCUGUUCGGUCACCGGAGCCGUCACCACGGGCUCCUUCUUGCACCAGCAUUGGGUCACCGGAGCCAUCAUAAUCAUGUCUUUCCUCCUCCACUCUUCGAUCACCGUAGCCUGCUUCUUCACCCUGUUCUUCCAGACCAUCAUUGUCGUUAAGAUACGACAAGAUAUCACCUCCGGCUAAGAUUAUGUCCCCCAACACCUCUUCUGCUUGCUCGUCUCGUCCGUGCUCCAUUGUUUCUGCAAAUAUUACAACAUGGCAAUUAUUACACAAGCAUGACAGCAGGUGGAUAUAUUAGUGCAAACGUAGACCUAGCUUAUUCCGGGUUUGGGGUGGCCUCGGCAACGCUUCAAGGGUAGGGGCGCGGCGGGAGGGGGUAGGAGACCGACAUCGUUUUUUUCUAGGGUUUGGGUGUCCUCGAGAGUUUUGGUCGAGCGAGAGGGCCGGGGGGUGCUCCCGUGGUAUAACUUAUCACGGUCGAGAGGGGGUAUAAAUAUCGACCGUCCAUCAUGUCGAAGUUAUCUGGGAGGGAGUUAUAUAUAUCGACAACGACGACAUACAUACAUGGGAAAAUAAUGUUAUCGAGGAGGGGAUAUAUCGACCCCCCCACGUGUUGAAGUUAUCGGGAGGGGGUUAUAUCGACAACGACGACAUACGUACAUGGGAAAAUAAUAUUAUCGGGGAGGGGGUAUAUCGACCCCCCUCGUGUUGAAGUUAUCGGGAGAGGGGCAUAUCGACGACGACAGACCCGAUAAAACAUAAGAAAACAAAGAGGAAAUAAAAAAAGGAGAAGAAGAAAAGGAAUAGAGGAGAAGAUCGAAGAAAAAAAAGAAGAAAAAAAGAGGAGAAGAAGAAAGGAAUAGAGGAGAGAAGAAGAAAAAUAGAAUUUUUUCUAUUUUUUCUUCUUCUCUUCUAUUCCUUUCUUCUUCUCCUCUUCUUUUUCUACUUUUUCCUCUUCUUAUUUAUUUCUCCUCUUCUUCCUCUCCUCUUCUUCUCCUUUCUUCCUAUUUCAUCAUUGUUCAUAUUUCAUUGUUCAUAUUUCAUCAUGUUCAUAUUUCGAAAAAAGUAAAGGUUUUGCCUAAUUCAUUGUUCAUAUUUCAUCAUGUUCUAUGAACAAAAAAACAUCAUAUUUCAUCCACAUCCAUGCAUACAUCAUAUAUGUGAUCAUCUAUAAAAAAACAUCAUAUUCUAUAAAAAAUCAUUACAUAUAUAUAUGUGAACAAAAACAACUAUGAUAACAAGCAUAUAUAUAUCAUCAUAUAUAUAGAAAAACAAGCAUAUAUAUAUAUGAAAAAAAACAAGAAAAAAUGCUAGGGAGGGCGCCGGCCGGACCAAGGUGAGGAGGACCGCGGGGUCGGCGGCGAGGAUGGCGACGGGGCAGUGGGCGCGCGCUCAGGGUAGGGGGCGACGGCGUCGAAGGGCGGGGCAGGGCGACGACGNNNNNNNNNNNNNNNNNNNNNNNNNNNNNNNNNNNNNNNNNNNNNNNNNNNNNNNNNNNNNNNNNNNNNNNNNNNNNNNNNNNNNNNNNNNNNNNNNNNNNNNNNNNNNNNNNNNNNNNNNNNNNNNNNNNNNNNNNNNNNNNNNNNNNNNNNNNNNNNNNNNNNNNNNNNNNNNNNNNNNNNNNNNNNNNNNNNNNNNNNNNNNNNNNNNNNNNNNNNNNNNNNNNNNNNNNNNNNNNNNNNNNNNNNNNNNNNNNNNNNNNNNNNNNNNNNNNNNNNNNNNNNNNNNNNNNNNNNNNNNNNNNNNNNNNNNNNNNNNNNNNNNNNNNNNNNNNNNNNNNNNNNNNNNNNNNNNNNNNNNNNNNNNNNNNNNNNNNNNNNNNNNNNNNNNNNNNNNNNNNNNNNNNNNNNNNNNNNNNNNNNNNNNNNNNNNNNNNNNNNNNNNNNNNNNNNNNNNNNNNNNNNNNNNNNNNNNNNNNNNNNNNNNNNNNNNNNNNNNNNNNNNNNNNNNNNNNNNNNNNNNNNNNNNNNNNNNNNNNNNNNNNGCCUUUAGUCCCGGUUCGUGGCACCAAAUGGGACUAAAGGUAGGCAUUAGUCCCGGUUGGUGCCACCAACCGGGACCAAAGCCCUCUUUUCAGCAGCCCAAAAGGGCGGGAAGCGGCGACCUUUGGUCCCGGUUGGUGGCACCAACCGGGACCAAAGGCCUCUUGCUGCCCGCGUCGCGGCCAAAAGUUUAGUCCCACCUCGCUAAUUGAGAGGGGCUCGAAGUGGUUUAUAAGCCCCGCUGUGGCUGCCCUCUCGAGCUCCUCUCAAAUGCAGGCUUACGGGCCUAAUCUCACACUAUGCUGUCUGUGGGCCUAUUGGGCCUUCUGCGGGCCUGAAUCCUGGCCCAGUUUGGGUUUCUAGUCGUAUUCAGGCCGUGGUGGCCCAAUAGGUGGCAGUUUUUUUCCAGUUUUUUUGUUUUGUUUUUUGUUUUAUUUAUUUUCUUUUGUUUUUUGCUUUAUUUUUUAAUUCUUUUUGCUUUUAGGUCACAAAAAUUAUAAACUUUCUGUUAGUGCCAUUAGUUUUCAAAUUUGAAUAGUUUAAAUUUGAAUUCUUUGAAAUUUGUGUGAAUCACUAGUUUGUGAUUAACUUUACAAUAAAAAUAGAUUUUGGAGUGAUUCUUUUUCCUGCUAUUUAAUAUUACUGUGUUUUAUGAUUCUAUUCAAAAACAUAUUUUUUAUUUUAGUUUCUAAAAAAAAAUCUUUAUGAUAAUGCUUUUUGCUAUUAAAGUUUCUAACAAAAACAUUAUUUAUGAAAAUUCCUUUUGCUAUUGGAGUUUUAUAAAAGCUUUUUAGUUGAUUCUUUUGGCUAUUGAAUAAUAUUAUAGUUUUGUUUUAGUUGAUCAUAACAGCAUAUUUUAAUUGAUUAUUUCUAGUUCAUUCUUUUUGCUAUUAGUUCAUGAGCUAUAAAUGACCCUUAAAUUGAAAAGCACUACAGAUGAACUCUGAAUAGGUUGAAAGUUGGCAUGGUUUCAUCAUUUCACCCACAUAUCAUGUGCUAAAAAGUUGAGAGGGUUACGGCAAAAACUGGAUGCACUUCGUGUACAAAAUGGACAAUCUCUUCCGAAGUAUCAGGGUUUCGAACGAAAACUCAUCAGUUACAAAGGGUUUCAUUUUUUUGAAUAUUUGAACUCCAGACUUUUUGUGUGUUCAAAAUGCACCAUUCAAAGCCACAUCAUCAAUUUUCAACCCUUUCUAACUUCAUUUGUUAUUUUUCGUGCAUUUACUAAUUAUUUUGAGCUAUAAGACCCUAAAAUUCAAAAGCAUUCCAAAUGAACUCUGAAAAGCUUGAAAGUUGGCAUGGUAUCAUCAUUUCAUCCACAUAGCAUGUGCAAGAAAGUUGAGAGGGUUACGGCAAAAACUGGAUGCACUUCGUGUACAAAACGGACAAUCUCUUUCGAAGUAUCAGGAUUUCAUACGGAAACUCAUCUGUUACAAAGGGAUUUCAUUUUUUAAAACUUAUUUGAACUCCUGACUUUUUAUGUGUUCAAAAUGCACCAUUCAAAGCCACAUCAUCAAUUUUCAACCCUUUCUGACUUCAUUUGUUAUUUUUCAUGCAUUUACUAAUUAUUUUGAGCUACAAGACCCUAAAAUUGAAAAGCAUUUCAAAUGAACUCUGAAAAGGUUGAAAAUUGGCAUGGUAUCAUCAUUUCAUCCACAUAGCAUGUGCAAGAAAGCCGAGACGGUUACGGCAAAAACUGGAUGAACUUCGUGUACAAAACGGACAAUGGUAUCAUACUCGUCUGUUACAAAGUUGGCAUGGUAUCAUCAUAAUAGUUGCGGGAGAAAGUCUUCACUUUUCUUCGCUUGUGUCAUUUGCUUAUUGCGCCGUAACCAUGGAUAAUCUUCAUCGUUUAUCAGGAUGCUUGGGUCAGCCUUGACUUUGAAGGGAGGAAUUUCAUGAAACUUUUCAUAAUCUUCAGGCAUGUCUGUCUUGCCCUCCACUCCCACAAUGUCCCUUUUUCCUGAAAGAACUAUGUGGCGCUUUGGCUCAUCGUAUGAUGUAUUCGCUUCCUUAUCUUUUCUUUUCCUCGGUCUGGUAGACAUGUCCUUCACAUAGAUAACCUGUGCCACAUCAUUGGCUAGGACGAACGGUUCGUCAGUGUACCCAAGAUUGUUCAGAUCCACUGUUGUCAUUCCGUACUGUGGGUCUACCUGUACCCCGCCUCCUGACAGAUUGACCCAUUUGCACUUAAACAAAGGGACCUUAAAAUCAUGUCCGUAGUCAAGUUCCCAUAUGUCCAUUAUGUAACCAUAAUAUGUGUCCUUUCCCCUCUCGGUUGCUGCAUCAAAGCGGACACCGCUGUUUUGGUUGGUGCUCUUUUGAUCUUGGGCGAUCGUGUAAAAUGUAUUCCCAUUUAUCUCGUAUCCUUUGUAAGUCAAUACAGUCGAAGAUGGUCCCCUAGACAAUGAGUACAACUCAUCACAAAUAGUGGUGUCACCUCUGAGACGUGUUUCCAACCAACUGCUGAAAGUCCUGAUGUGUUCACAUGUAAUCCAGUCGUCACACUGCUCCGGGUGUUUGGAGCGCAGACUGUUCUUGUGUUCAUCGACAUACGGGGUCACCAAGGUAGAGUUCUGUAGAACUGUGUAGUGUGCUUGAGACCAAGAAUAUCCGUCCCUGCAUAUUAUUGAGUCCCCUCCAAGCGUGCCUUUUCCAGUCAGUCUCCCCUCAUACCGCGAUUUAGGGAGACCUAUCUUCUUAAGGCCUGGAAUGAAGUCAACACAAGACCCAAUGACAUCCUCUGUUUGAUGGCACAUGGAGAUGCUUCCUUUUGGCCUAGCGCGGUUACGGACAUAUUUCUUUAGGACUCCCAUGAACCUCUCAAAGGGGAACAUAUUGUGUAGAAAUACGGGCCCCAGAAUGACAAUCUCGUUGACUAGAUGAACUAGGACGUGCUUCAUGAUAUUGAAGAAGGAUGGUGGGAACACCAGCUCGAAACUGACAAGACAUUGCGCCACAUCACUCCUUAGCCUUGGUAUGAUUUCUGGAUCGAUCACCUUCAGAGAGAUUGCAUUGAGGAAUGCACAUAGCUUCACAAUGGCUAAUCGGACGUUUUCCGGUAGAGGCCCCCUCAAUGCAACCGGAAGCAGUUGCGUCAUAAUCACGUGGCAGUCAUGAGACUUUAGGUUCUGGAACUUUUUCUCUGGCAUAUUUAUUAUUCCCUUUAUAUUCGACGAGAAGCCAGUCGGGACCUUCAUACUGAGCAGGCAUUCAAAGAAGAUUUCUUUCUCUUCUUUCGUAAGAGCGUAGCUGGCAGGACCUUCAUACUGCUUCGGAGGCAUGCCGUCUUUGUCGUGCAAACGUUGCAGGUCCUCCCGUGCCUCAGGUGUAUCUUUUGUCUUCCCAUACACGCCCAAGAAGCCUAGCAGGUUCACGCAAAGGUUCUUCGUCACGUGCAUCACGUCGAUUGAAGAGCGGACCUCUAGCUCUUUCCAGUAGGGUAGGUCCCAAAAUAUAGAUUUCUUCUUCCACAUGGGUGUGUGUCCCUCAGCAUCAUUCGGAACAGCUAGUCCACCGGGACCCUUUCCAAAGAUUACGUGUAAAUCAUUGACCAUAGCAAGUACGUGAUCACCGGUACGCAUGGCGGGCUUCUUCCGGUGAUCUGCCUCGCCUUUGAAAUGCUUGCCUUUCUUUCGACAUUGAUGGUUGGUCGGAAGAAAUCGACGAUGGCCCAGGUACACAUUCUUCCUGCAUUUGUCCAGGUAUAUACUUUCAGUGUCAUAUAAACAGUGUGUGCAUGUGUGGUAUCCCUUGUUUGUCUGUCCUGAAAGGUUACUGAGAGUGGGCCAAUCGUUGAUGGUUACAAACAGCAACACGUGCAGGUUAAAUUCCUCCUGUUUGUGCUCAUCCCACGUACGUACACCGUUUCCAUUCCACAGCUGUAAAAGUUCUUCAACUAAUGGCCUUAGGUACACAUCAAUGUCGUUGCCGGGUUGCUUAGGGCCUUGGAUGAGAACUGGCAUCAUAAUGAACUUCCGCUUCAUGCACAUCCAAGGAGGAAGGUUAUACAUACAUAGAGUCAUGGGCUAGGUGCUGUGAUUGCUGCUCUGCUCACCGAAAGGAUUAAUGCCAUCCGCGCUUAAACCAAACCAUACGUUCCAUGGGUCAGCUGCAAACUCAGCCCAGUACUUUCUGUCGAUUUUUCUCCACUGCGACCCGUCAGCGGGUGCUCUCAACUUCCCGUCUUUCUUACGGUCCUCACCGUGCCAUUGCAUCAACUUGGCAUGCUCUUCGUUUCUGAACAGACGUUUCAACCGUGGUAUUAUAGGAGCAUACCACAUCACCUUCGCAGGAACCCUCUUCCUGGGGGGCUGGCCGUCAACAUCACCAGGGUCAUCUCGUCUGAUCUUAUACCGCAAUGCACCGCAUACCGGGAAUGCGUUCAGAUCCUUGUACGCACCGCGGUAGAGGAUGCAGUCAUUAGGGCAUGCAUGUAUCUUCUGCACCUCCAAUCCUAGAGGGCAUACGACCUUCUUUGCUGCGUAUGUACUGUCGGGCAAUUCGUUAUCCUUUGGAAGCUUCUUCUUCAAUAUUUUCAAUAGCUUCUCAAAUCCUUUGUCAGGCACAGCAUUCUCUGCCUUCCACUGCAGCAAUUCCAGUACGGUACCGAGCUUUGUGUUGCCAUCUUCGCAAUUGGGGUACAACCCUUUUUUGUGAUCCUCUAACAUGCAAUCGAACUUCAGCUUCUCCUUUUGACUUUCGCAUUGCUUCCUUGCAUCGACAAUGACCCGGCGGAGAUCGCGCUGGUUCCUCUUGAUCUCCAGUAGCUUCCCCCCUUGCAGCAUCAUUGGGCACAUCGUCUGGUUCCUCUUGAUCUUCAGCAGCUUCCCCCGUUGCAGCAUCACCGUAUUCAGGGGGCACAUAGUUGUCAUCGUCCUCUUCUUCUUCGCCGUCUUCCAUCAUAACCCCUAUUUCUCCGUGCCUCGUCCAAACAUUAUAGUGUGGCAUGAAACCCUUCUAAAGCAGGUGGGUGUGAAGGAUUUUCCGGUCAGAGUAAGACUUCGUAUUCCCACAUAUAGGGCAUGGACAACACAUAAAACCAUUCUGCUUGUUUGCCUCAGCCACUUCGAGAAAAUCAUGCACGCCCUUAAUGUACUCGGAGGUGUGUCUGUCACCGUACAUCCAUUGCCGGUUCAUCUGCGUGCAUUAUAUAUAAUUAAGUGUGUCAAAAACCAUUACAGAACAUCAUGAAUAGAUAAUUAAGUGACCAAAUUAAUAGAAGUUCAUCAUCACAUUAAAACCAAAGUACAUACAUAGUUCUCAUCUAACAACAUAUAUAUAGCUCUCCAGAGCAUCUAAUUAAUUAAACCAUACAUUGACACUAUGUAAAACAUUUCAAUGCGAAAACAAAUGCGAUCAUAAUCGCAACCAAGGUAACAAUUGAUCCAACGGCAUAAUGAUACCAAGCCUCGGUAUGAAUGGCAUAUUUUCUAAUCUUUCUAAUCUUCAAGCGCAUUGCAUCCAUCUUGAUCUUGUGAUCAUCAACGACAUCCGCAACAUGCAACUCCAAUAUCAUCUUCUCCUCCUCAAUUUUUUUAGUUUUUCCUUCAAGUAAUUGUUUUCUUCUUCAACUAAAUUUAACCUCUCGACAAUAGGGUCGGUUAGAAUUUCCGGUUCAACCACCUCCUAGAUAAAUAAAAUCUAUGUGACAUUGGUCGGUGUAUUUGUCAUAAACAAUAAAUGAACCAAAUAGUUAUAAAAAGAUAAUAUAUACCACAUCCGAAUCAUAGACAGGACGAGGGCCGACGGGGGCGGAUACCAAAACCAUCGCACUAUGUAAUAAGAAGGAAUAAUAAAAGUAACAAAAUUAGACAAGUAUCUAUCUAAAGUAAGAAUUUUUUCCUUUCAGAAAGAGGAUAAGAACAAGAGGCUCACCACGGUCGUGUUGGCGACGAGAUCGGCGCGGGCGAUCGACGGCGGUGAAGACGGGGACGGGACGUGACGGACCGCUAAACCUAGACAAAUCUCGGGGAAAAUGGAGCUCGGAGGUCGAGUUUCGAGAGGAGAAAGAUUAACUAGUGUGGCUCAGACAUUUCAUCGAACACCUCAUGUGCAUAGGAGGUGAGCUAGAGCACCCAAAUGCCCUCCCCUCGCCGGCCAGAGAAAACAGAGCACUGUGGAGUGCUCUGCUGUGGCGAUGGGGUAUAUAUAGGGAACUCAUUGGUCCCGGUUCGGUGGCACCAACCGGGACCAAAGGCCUUGUGCUGCCCCGCGUCAAAAGUUUAGUCCCACCUCCCUAGUUGAGAGGGCUCAAGAGUGGUUUAUAAGCGCUGCUGCGCCCACCCUCUCGAGCUCCUCUCAACUGCAGGCUUUCGGGCCUAACCGUUCUCUUUGCCUGUGGGGCCUACUGGGCCUUCUGCGGGCUAGAAUCCUGGCCCAUGGAUGGGUUUCAAGUCGUAUUUAGGCCGUGGUGGCCAAGUAGGUGGCAUAAUUUCUUUUCUCUGUUUUUUGUUUUCUCUUUUGCUUUAUUUGUUUUGUUUUGUUUCUAUUUACAACAAAAAAAUUAUUUAUUUUAUUUCUAAUUACUUAUGUAUUUCACUUUAAUUAUUUUAUUUUUAUUUAUUUUACUGCUGCUAUUUUUAUACUGCUGCUAUUUUUAUUUAUUUUACUGCUGCUAUUUUUAUUUAAUUUAUUAAGGUUUAUUUAUUUUAGUUACUAUAGUUUAUUUUAUUUUAUAUUAUUAAGGUUUAUUUAUUUUUAUUUAUUUUGUUAAGGUUUAUUUAUUUUAUUUACUAUAAAAAAAUGAACAUAGAUGCGCCUAUAGAGAAAAUUCAACCUAAAUUCAUAAUAAAUUUCUAUGAAAUUCAAAGAAAUUUACUAUGAAUUUAGGUCAAAUUCCCUGUAUAAGGGCAUCUAUUUUCACUUUGAGAGGAGCUCAACAAGGCAGAGAGGGACGAGCUUAUAAACUGGUCUGAGCGCCCUUCGGUUGGCGAGGUGGGACUAAACACUGGCCGCAACAAGGACUAGCCCUUUAGUCCGGGUUUGUGGUAUGAACCGGGACUAAAGGGUGGUGGGCCAGGAGCGUGGCCCAUUGGUCCCGGUUUGUCCCACCAACCGGGACCAAAGGGGCCGGACGAACCGGGACCAAUGCCCCCCACGAGGCCCGGCAGGCCCCAGGCCGCACGAACCGGGACCAAUGCUCACAUUAGUCCCGGUUCGUGACUGAACUGGGACUAAUGUGAAUAUUGCCCUGUGACCAAAGCCCAGUUUUCUACUAGUG